CCUACGGGGUGGCUGCAGUGGGGAAUAUUGGACAAUGGGCGAAAGCCUGAUCCAGCCAUGCCGCGUGUGUGAAGAAGGCCUUCGGGUUGUAAAGCACUUUCAGUGGGGAAGAAAGCCUUGGGGCUAAUACCCUCGAGGAAGGACAUCACCCACAGAAGAAGCACCGGCUAACUCCGUGCCAGCAGCCGCGGUAAUACGGAGGGUGCGAGCGUUAAUCGGAAUUACUGGGCGUAAAGCGCGCGUAGGCGGUCUGAUAAGCCGGUUGUGAAAGCCCCGGGCUCAACCUGGGAACGGCAUCCGGAACUGUCAGGCUAGAGUGCAGGAGAGGAAGGUAGAAUUCCCGGUGUAGCGGUGAAAUGCGUAGAGAUCGGGAGGAAUACCAGUGGCGAAGGCGGCCUUCUGGACUGACACUGACGCUGAGGUGCGAAAGCGUGGGUAGCAAACAGGAUUAGAUACCCUGGUAGUC
rnacentral:rRNA from 1 species